ACAUGCCUACGACAUAGCGUUAAUGCACCAGAUCCCAUUAGAACUCCGUAGUUAAGCGCGUUCAGGCUAGAGUAGUAAUGGGAUGGGUGACCUCCUUGGAAGUCCUAGUGUUUUACAUGCC
rfam:Picea glauca, whole genome shotgun sequence.